UACUGUGGAGUAUGUCGCAGGUCAUAUCAGCGUUUACGUUUGGAGCUGCAAUCUUUUUCAAAAACCUUUAGAUGGUGCUACUGUAUUCAUAGCAACAAUAGUUUUCAGAAUUUUACAGGAUCCUAUCAGAUACUUCCCUCAGUCCCUUAUGACAAUUUCACAAGCCAUGGUAUCUCUUGGUAGGUUAGAUGGAUAUAUGACAAGCCGUGAAUUGGAUUCUGAUGUUGUCCAAAGACAACAAGGCUGUAAUGGCAGUAUUGCAGUGGAGGUUAAAGAUGGGAAUUUUUCAUGGGAAGAUGAUGGUGAUCAAAUUGUUCUGAAAGACAUAAAUCUUUAAGUUUGAAAGGGGGAACUUGCUGCAAUUGUUGGAAUGGUUGGAUCAGGAAAGUCUUCUUUGUUGGCAUCAAUGCUUGGUGAACUUCACAAAGUAUCGGGAGAGGUAAGAGUCUGUGGAAGCACUGGUUAUGUUGCCCAAAACCUCAUGGAUACAAAACUCUAAUAUCCAAGAGAACAUCUUGUUUGGUUCACCAAUGAACAAUAAAAGAUACAAAGAUGUAUUAAGGGUUUGUUUAUUGGAGAAGGACUUGGAAAUUCUGGAACAUGGAGACCAAGGUGAGAUAGGAGAACGAGGAAUCAACCUCAGCGGAGGUCAGAAGCAGAGGAUACAACUCGCAAAAGCAGUGUAUCAGGAUCGUGAUAUCUAUCUUCUAGAUAAUAUAUUUAGCGUUGUUGAUGCUCAAACUGGAUCAGAAAUAUUUAAGGAAUGUGUAAGGGGAGCUUCGAAGGAUAAGACUGUUGUUCUUGUCACUUACCAAGUUGACUUCCUUCCCAAUGCAGAUCUUAUAUU